rnacentral:rRNA from 1 species
GAUGAACGCUGGCGGCGUGCCUAAUACAUGCAAGUCGAGCGAACAGACGAGGAGCUUGCUCCUCUGACGUUAGCGGCGGACGGGUGAGUAACACGUGGAUAACCUACCUAUAAGACUGGGAUAACUUCGGGAAACCGGAGCUAAUACCGGAUAAUAUAUUGAACCGCAUGGUUCAAUAGUGAAAGACGGUUUUGCUGUCACUUAUAGAUGGAUCCGCGCCGCAUUAGCUAGUUGGUAAGGUAACGGCUUACCAAGGCAACGAUGCGUAGCCGAACUGAGAGGGUGAUCGGCCACACUGGAACUGAGACACGGUCCAGACUCCUAAGGGAGGCAGCAGUAGGGAAUCUUCCGCAAUGGGCGAAAGCUUGACGGAGCAACGCCGCGUGAGUGAUGAAGGUCUUCGGAUCGUAAAACUCUGUUAUUAGGGAAGAUCAAAUGUGUAAGUAACUAUGCACGUCUUGACGGUACCUAAUCAGAAAGCCACGGCUAACUACGUG